GUACACUCCUACGGGAGGCAGCAGUGGGGAAUAUUGCACAAUGGGCGCAAGCCUGAUGCAGCCAUGCCGCGUGUAUGAAGAAGGCCUUCGGGUUGUAAAGUACUUUCAGCGGGGAGGAAGGCGAUAAGGUUAAUAACCUUGUUGAUUGACGUUACCCGCAGAAGAAGCACCGGCUAACUCCGUGCCAGCAGCCGCGGUAAUACGGAGGGUGCAAGCGUUAAUCGGAAUUACUGGGCGUAAAGCGCACGCAGGCGGUCUGUCAAGUCGGAUGUGAAAUCCCCGGGCUCAACCUGGGAACUGCAUUCGAAACUGGCAGGCUAGAGUCUUGUAGAGGGGGGUAGAAUUCCAGGUGUAGCGGUGAAAUGCGUAGAGAUCUGGAGGAAUACCGGUGGCGAAGGCGGCCCCCUGGACAAAGACUGACGCUCAGGUGCGAAAGCGUGGGGAGCAAACAGGAUUAGAAACCCCGGUAGUCCCAU
rnacentral:rRNA from 1 species